rnacentral:lncRNA from 1 species
GUUUUGGAGUGCAGGCGUGAAUAGUCCUUUCUGUCCUGCUUUGAGUACUGCUGUUGGGUGCCUUGGGGGGACCUUAAGGGAGCUCGGAAGUUGAGACGUGGUGAGUGCGAGAUCACUGCCCACAAAGGGGAGGAGCAGGCGGAUGAACAGCCAGAGCUGCAAUGGUGGAUCCUCCUCCAGGGCUGCAUGGGACGACAGAUAGAUGAGGCUCUAGGACGGGCACAAAUGCUACCCGAAUGCAAACCACUCCGGAGAUCUGUAAAAGGACUGGCCCCGGACAGGAAGCACACUUUAAACUAGAGGCGGGGUAAGACUCGUGGGCCAAUCAAGGCUUCCGAACAGAACUGCCAUUCUGGCAAUGAGGCGGGGUCUUCCGGUUGCCUGCUGGAAGUUUGUUUUUGCUCUGCAGGAUUGAAGGGUUCUCCCUAUGCUGCUUUGAGCGCUGCUAUUGGGUGCCUUGAGGGGACCUCAAGUAAGCUCCAUUUUUGAAACAUGAGUCAAAGCCCCGGUGAAGAUUCUGUGACGGUUCAUUGUAUAAUUUAUGAUGAUGAAGAUUGAGUUGCAUUUUGCGGAAAAGAGAUGUUGAGAUAUCUAAGGCAUUGAGAAAUCUGUCAUGCAGACAUGCACACAGGGAGAGGGAGUACCCAAACUGAUGAGAACUUACAGGAAUUGGACCAUCUAAGCCCUUAGAAAGUGAAGUCCACUGUGUCUCAAACAAAGGUAUAUGAUUCGGUGUUUGCCCUGCUGUGUUUCUUGCCUUGCUCCAAUCUCCCCUCCCUAUGUGCAGAUGCCUAUCUAUUGGAAUUGGAAGGGGUAUUCUGUGCCAUUGUAUGCCUGAAAGAUAUAACUUGUGUUCUGAUUAUAAAAGAAGUGGCAAUCAAGUCAUUUCCCUGAGUGUCAAAAGAGGCUUUGAACAUUUCAACAGUGUAGGAGCUUCUACAGACUAUUGGAGUCAUUAAAGUUCCACUGAAUGCAUUUUCAUCACAGGGGGAAUAUGAGCCUCUAGUGCCUAGGGUCAGAAUGGAGUUUAUUGAAAGAAAAUGUUCCUAGAAAAGUUGAUGUCUGUGAAUCCUUGUCUGUCCAUCUUGGCUUUCUUUGGGGAGCUUACAGAUGCUCUUUUAGGAGGAGCCUUUCCAGAUUUUUUUUAUUAGGGGAUAGGGUUUGUUUGUCUGUAGACUCAACAAAUUUCUUUCUUUUUCAUUUCUUCAAUAAUUUAUAUAUUUAUUAUCUUGGGAGUCACUUUCCCACUCCAGGUCACCCCCUUCAUAGAGUCCCUGUCCCCAAUCCUCUCUGAUUCUCCUUUGAGUGGCUGUGUGCCCUCCUGUUUGUCCCCCAAUCAUGGCUCAGUAAGUGUCUGUCCCAAUAGGUGUGUCCUCUCUCAUUAAAGCCAGACAGGACAGUGUCCUUAAGGGAACAGAUUCUAAAGAUAGUCAAGAGCUUUAGGGACAGCCUGUACUCCAGUUGUUGGGAGACCCACAUGAAGUCUGAGCUGCAUAUCUGCUACGUAUGUGCCAGGAACCUUAGUCCAGUCUUUAGUGGGUGGCUCAGCUUCUGAGUGUCCCCAGAAGCUACUCAUCCUAGGCAUGUGUAGUGAGUCCAGACUAAUGAGUCUGUUAUUCUUCCUGGGGAGUUCCUACCCCAUUAAGGCUCUUCAGUCCUUCCCUGCACUUUCAUAAGAGUCCCCAAGGUUUGUUUGAUAUUUGGCUAUGACUUCUGUUCUUUGUGGCUACUGUGUCGUGGUUGAAACUGGUCAUUCAGCUUUCUUCUCAUGCUCUCAUAAAUUCACCAUUUGGACUCUGUCCCUAAAUCACCUAGGAUACUGUAGAAGCAUUUCCUGAUCAAUACUAAGCCAUUUUGCAAGCUUG